CUCCUCGAGAGGCUUUUCAGCUCUAAUCUACAGUACUUCUUAAUAUUACUAACUAUAUAUCGCUAUAUUUACAAAGGUUUGUUUACGAAUACGCUAUGACAUCUAAAAAAAUCCAAAUUUACAUUUGCAGAGGAUUACUUAUUUAAGAAAUCCGUGAGAAGGUUUUUCUUUAUAUUAAGUUUAAAACUUUAAUUUGGACUGUCAUUCUAGAUUUUAGUGAAUCGUCAAGGCUAUUCCAAAUUGUGGAAGCCCUGUAUAAAAAAGACUUCUGAGCUUUAGAAGUUCUACAAAGAGGUUCAUGUAGUUGUUUACUCUGCCGUGUUACGCGAUUACUGAUUUCAGAACGAGUAACAAACUUUUGGCAUAGCGGGUAAUCAGGUGCUAACUUGCCAUACAUUUAUACGUCAUAACGCAAUCCCGGAACGGGAAGCCAUUUCAGUUGCUUUAAAGCAAGUGUUAUAUGGUCGUAUUUACGAGAUCCUGUCGUUAUGCGUGCAGCAAAAUUUUGCACUGUCUUAAGUUUACAAAUGUUCUUCUGACUCGUUGAGGACCAAACAGUGGAACAAUAAAACAGCUUGUAAGAUUGUAUUAUCAUUUCCAGAGUUGAUUGCCUAAAUAAGUUCUUGAUUCUAUUUAUUUGAUGCAGUUUCUUCAUACAAGAUGAUACCGAUUGCUUGAUGUGUUCAUCAAAAGAUAGACUUGGGUCCAUAAUUAAGCCAAGAUCUGUGGCAUUUUGGACUGGUUGUACAGUUUUCCCGAGAAACGUAAAUUAUGAGGUAUCGGCCGGAAUGUGUUUCAGCAUCUGCUGUGUUCCAAAGAACAUAAUCUUUGUUUUAUCCGGGUUAGCAAGCAGGCAAUUGUUACUUAAGCAAGUAGCAACCGUAAAAAAGUCAUUGUUUACUGUCGUUACUACAUCUUGUAAUUUUCCAGUGCAAAAUGAUAAAAACAGUUUAGAGUCAUCUACAUAACUUUCCAGUUCACUGUUUAGCGGGAUGCAAGGAAGAUCAUUGAUGAAUAAAUUGAACAAUAAGGGUCCUAAUAUACUACCUUGUGGAACUCCUUUCGUUAUGGGAAGUAAGUCCGAUAUUUCAGCGCCAAUUAAUCCGAACUGCUUGCAUUCGUCCGGUAAGAUAGCUCCGAAACCAUUCUAGUGUAUUUGACGAGAUUCCACAGUUCUGCAACUUGUGAAGGAGACGAUCGUGGUCGAUACUAUCGAAUGCUUUAUUCAAAUCAAGCAAAACAAGAACGGUGACUUUCUUUUUAUCGAUAGCAUUGAGAAUAUGGUCAGUUACCAACAAAUGAACUGAUUCAGUCGAGUGUUUACAUUUGUUGCCACUUUGAUGACUUGUAUUAAAGUCGAUUGUGUUCUUCAAGAUAAUUUGACAGUUGGUUAAAGACUAUUCUUUCACAAAUUUUAGAAUUGGUCACUAAUAUAGAGAUUGGUCGAUUGUUACUUGCAACUUCACUAUCUCCGUCCUUUACAUGAGGCACUACUUCAUGAUCAGCGACUUCCAAGCCGUGGGAAAUAUAUUGGAAGUGAACGAUAAAUGAAUUAUUUCUGUUAAAGGCUUGGAAACAGUAAAUAGGCAAUCUUUUAUAACCUUUGUGGUCACUUUAUCCAUACCAGGAGAUUUAUUUGAAGGCAUAUUCAUUACCACAGCUACAAGUUCCUCUCUAGUUAUUUGGCUGAGGGAAAACUGCUCUGAUUCCGGG